GGUUCCGUGGUGUAGCGGUUAUCACAUCUGCUUUACACGCAGAAGGUCACCGGUUCGAUCCCGGUCGGAACCA
rnacentral:tRNA from 1 species